rnacentral:rRNA from 1 species
CCCUUAGAUGUUCGGGGCCGCACGCGCGCUACACUGAAGGACUCAGCGUGUCUCUCCCCCUAUCCCGAAAGGGAUGGGCAACCCGUUGAACCUCCUUCGUGCUAGGGAUUGGGGUUUGCAAUUAUCCCCCAUGAACGAGGAAUUCCCAGUAAGCGCGAGUCAUCAGCUCGCGUUGAUUACGUCCCUGCCCUUUGUACACACCGCCCGUCGCUACUACCGAUUGGAUGGUUUAGUGAGACCCUCGGAUCGGUCCCGACUCGGGGUGGGCAACUUCCGUGCCAUGGCGCCGAGAAGACGAUCGAACUUGAUCAUCUAGAGGAAGUAAAAGUCGUAACA